GCUGAGCCCUUGAAGGCAUCAAAGUGGUUCCCUGCCCAAGAGGGAACAUCAAAUGGAUACUUUUAUACAAAUCAGCGUGAUUCACUGGAGACAGCAUAGCAGACAUUUGGAUCCCGAUCCAAUGGCCAUUGAAGUCAAUGGAAGGACUCAUGUAAUGAAUGUCUUGAAUGGGAUUGAAUCAGGGCCUUGAGGAAGUUUUUGCCUUUGGGUGAAUAAAUACUAAGAAGAUCCAGAUGCUUUUAAAGAUUGUGAGAGGACUCCAGGUUCUAUUAUUCACUGCAGGAAUUUAUUGCACCGGGAAUUUGAUCCGUUCCCUAGAAUGAUUAUUACAAUAUAGCUAUGGAACGCUGAAGAGGAGGUAUCUGACAGAAGUUGACUGAAGGGGAAAACUGAAGACAUCUAGGAGGUCUUCAAAGAAUUGAACAUCACAGCCCUUUCUUGACUCCAUAAUAAAAACAAAGCAACAAUACUGGGUGAAAUUCCUCUCUCUACAACUGGGUGCUUAAAUAUUGAACUCGCCCUCUGCAGCGUGAUGGAGCCCUUUCUUAUGUUCAAAAUGCCAUACACACAUGGGGGGGAAACUGACGCAAAGCAGUGUGACUCCAUUGCCCAGGAUUAAACUGGCCCUCACAGCAACACUUUGAAGUAGGUGUUAUCAUCCUCAGUUUACAAAAAAGUAGGGAAGCCAGGGUCCUCAUUUUCCAAGGCGCUGAGUGUGAUGGAUGGGUCUUUGUCUGCGUGUCUAUCAAUUUGUGUCCUUCAUUUGACAUUGCCACCACCAUUUUGAAGACUGAGCUGAAUGAUGAGUCGGUGACUAUACCUGACCACAAAUGAAGCUUACUGUAAUGCUGACACCUCCCUGAAGGCACUAACACAGAGUCAUCAAAGGUGACUGUUUUCUAAACAAAGGAUCAUAGAGGAAUCAUAGAUCCAUCCUAGGACAAUGGUUCUGCUCCAGCAAGUGUGAGGAGCGGGGCCUGGGCAGCCAGGCUUAGUGAUCAGGACCAAUGCCAGAGUCCAGAGGCCUAGGUCGGGGGUCAGAACCAGGAUCAGAAUCUAAGAGCAGUAGCCUAAGCUCGGGAUAGGGGUCAGUGUCUUCAUACCAAUGCCAGGAGUAGGAACAGAAUCGGAGUUCAGGGGGCAAACCCAGGAUCUGUAGCCAGGGUCAGAGGUCAAUAACCAAAGCCAAGGAUCAAAGCCAGACCCACUGAAGCCAGGGGUCAGGAUUGGAGUCGGAGAUCAAAAGCGGAAGUCAAGGGUCUAAGCUGCAGUCAGGAGUCCAAGAGUGAGCCGAGAAGCAGGUCCAUCUCUACAGUUAGUAAAAGAGUCCACCUCAUUUCACAGACACUUCAUGGAACUCCUCCUGUGCUUAAAUGGGGCUCCUGGACCAAUCAGGGGCCACCAGGGAAUCUGUCAGUCCAGUCUUUUGAGGUGGUACGUCCUGUGGUAUGUACCUGCACCGAGUCUUUGUGGCACAGCAUGUGGCACUACCAUGGCUGCCUGGUAGUGGCCUGAAGGCAUUGGGCACCCAGCAGAACCAGGUCCUAAUCAUGUUCCCACUGAACCUUGCUGGGUUGACGGAAACUGGUCAUCCUCGUUUGGGGCUCCUGAGGUCUUCUGCACUAACCACUAAUCCUUACUGGAUUUAUGCAGCUGGACAGUUAGUCACAUGACAGAGGGGACGGAAACCUUCAGACUCCCCCUCUCACCGCACCUGACAGAAGGCCCACAGGAUGCAGAGGCAGGAGGGGUUACCCAUCUGACAUAUGGACUGGGUUCAAGGACUCACAAUAAGGGGUGAGCACACAAACUCAGGGGGCGGGCUGGGAGUGGUUUUGCCUAAAUAUCUGUAAUUUACGUGAGCUUUGACUGUAAACGUUACUGUGGUUUUAGAAAUCCCUGUGCAGAGCCUAUGGACCGGACAACAAAGAGACUUUCAGACACCUUAAAUUCACUGGAAUUCACAAAGCUUAGGUGCCUAGGUACCCUAUUCUAGGAAUGGGGAGAGACAGGUGCCUGAGAACUAAUAAUUAUGGGUUGCUUAGGUACAAAUGCUCAUGACCUGAUCACAUUUAUAAUGUGCAGACAGAAUAAAGUCCAGAGCACACAUGGACCCAGGAGUUGGGUCCAAAUCCAACAGACAGGUAACUGUUGUGAUGGGCACUCAGCCAGAUCUGUAACACUGAGCACAUCUGCAAAUCAAGGCGACAGAGACAAUCCAUGUCAGUGCUUGGGAGCCAGGGAGCCCCCAGAUUAUUUUUCCCCGUGUCAGUCCUUGUGGAGCCAUCCCAAUGCGGUCACUGGCCCCAGCACCUUGCCUGCCUAGUCCAUGUCAUCUUCCAGUGCAGCCCUCCCAGGUGGAGUGUCAGGCCCCGUCCCUGAGAGGGGACGCAAGCUGCUGGAAGUCUGGCGAGGCCGGGCAGGCCUGUGGCAGGAGCCAGACCCCAUGGCAGCAGCAAAGAGGAGCAGCUCUGGCUACCCCAACGCCCACUCAGGUUUGGCCCUGUGGCCCGUGAGUCCUGUACGGGGGGUGCAACGCCAAUCAGGAGGAGCCAUGGGGGAUGAACCUGAGUGGGCGGUGGGGUGGCCGGCAUCGCUUCUCCUCGCUGCUGCCAAUGCUGUGUAACAUGUCUAACCUGCAUAGGGCUGUGCAAGCACCACCGCUCAGGGGUCCCAGAGUCCCAAUUUCACAGCAUUAGACCAUGGCCUCUCCCUUAAAUACAGUCUUUCCAAGUCUGAGGCCACCUUCUGCCUUCAGCUUGACUAGUGCCUUACUGGACUCGUAAAUCCAUUGAAAUCAAUGCGCCUAAUCGCUGAGUAAGGUGCAUUGUAACAUGCACAAGGAGGCAGAAUCCAGUAGUGUUGUCGUGAGCUGGGUUGAGUUAAAAGCUGUUUCAAAUUGGGUGUGAACAUACUUUUCAAUGACCACAAUCCUCAGGAUGGGUCGAGCAGAAGCCCGCCACCUGAGGGAAGCAGGGGUUGUGAACCCACUCAGGAGUUCGGAUGGAGGGGGCAAAAGGGUUUUGUGAGGAAUGUGCAUAUCAGCGUACUAGGGAAGGCAGAACACACGGAAACUGUGAACAGGCAAGAACAGAGAGAGACUGUCAAGGCUGCUUCCCCACUCUGAACUUUAGGGUACAAAUGUG